CUGCCUGCAGGCUUGCGCUCCAAGCUGUGUCAGCAAACCUGAGACUCAUCACUAAAGCACUUCGGGAGCCAGGCUGUACCCUGAGGUGCUGCCUGGGAUGUGGGGGCACUGUCAACUUUAAGCGGUGCUGUCCGUGGCCCGGUUGGGAGAAAUGGUUAAUUACUGCCUAGGAACGGGGGCUUGGCACCACUUGGGGACGGCACUGCAAGGCCAGGGAUGCGCUGGCAGGCAUUUGCCACUUGAGCUGCCUCGGGGCGCUGAGGAGGCUGGACUUCCUUCAAAACAAGCUUGCUUAAAGGCCACAGUGCUCAGGAAACAGAUCUCUCUUUCAAGUGAAGCGGAGCCGGGAGAGCACAUGGAGGCCCCCCUUCUCCAGGGCAAAGCCAGCCAUGCGGAGGCAGUGACCAAUCUCCUGGCCACCCACCCCCCCCCCGACAUGCGCACCGAGGGGGAAGCUACAGCAAUCGCCUACAGGACUGAGGACAUGUAAUGGGAACCAGAAGCCCAUCUGGUGGGACCAGGCAGGCACAGAGGGGCACGGUGUCUCAAUCUCCCUUCAGGGAUGCACCAUAAACCAGGAGGGCUGCUCAGACUUCACAGAUGCUCCCAAGCUGUGCACACCAGGGAGCCAGGCCAGCAUCACCCAGCACAUCCUUUGUGGAUUCCCGGAAAGCUAAGCCAGGCAGAUUGUCUUUUCCCUGUGCCAGGGGGGGCUGCACAGCUCCCGGACUGGCCGGGGUCUGCAUGCCUGGGCCUCAGGGGCUGGUGGAGAUGUCUCCAGGCCCCUCGAACGACCGAGGACACUCGCUCUGGGGACCUCUGCCAGGGCCAGGGCCAGAGGCUGACAUCUGAUUAUGGUUCUCGAAAUCAGACACGAGGUCAGACAUGAGCAGAGCUGAGUGACCUCUGGAGCAGGGGUCAGGACUGGCCUCCCUGCAGGCCAUAUGUACUCAUAGCAAACCCCCUUCAUCCCACACUGGGCAGGGUCUGUGCCCAAUCCUUCAGGCCCCAGUAGUCCUGCCCCAUGGCCCAUCCUGCAAUUCCCAAGAUCUCACGUGGGUCCCUGACCACUUCCAAAUUAAACACAAGUGACUACAGUUGGAUGACAUUCUA